rnacentral:rRNA from 1 species
CGCGAUCACUCCGUACGGGAGGCAGCAGUGGGGAAUAUUGCACAAUGGGCGCAAGCCUGAUGCAGCCAUGCCGCGUGUGUGAAGAAGGCCUUCGGGUUGUAAAGCACUUUCAGUCGUGAGGAAGGUAGUGUAGUUAAUAGCUGCAUUAUUUGACGUUAGCGACAGAAGAAGCACCGGCUAACUCCGUGCCAGCAGCCGCGGUAAUACGGAGGGUGCGAGCGUUAAUCGGAAUUACUGGGCGUAAAGCGCAUGCAGGUGGUUUGUUAAGUCAGAUGUGAAAGCCCGGGGCUUAACCUCGGAAUUGCAUUUGAAACUGGCAGGCUAGAGUACUGUAGAGGGGGUAGAAUUUCAGGUGUAGCGGUGAAAUGCGUAGAGAUCUGAAGGAAUACCGGUGGCGAAGGCGGCCCCCUGGACAGAUACUGACACUCAGAUGCGAAAGCGUGGGGAGCAAACAGGAUUAGAUACCCUGGUAG